GAAUUGUGCCAAAACACAACUAUCUCUCUCAUAUUUUUUUUGAUCAGGUUUUAGCUUGUCAAUUUUUCGCCUUUGUUUUUUUUUGCUGAUUCAUUCUUCAUC
rnacentral:ribozyme from 1 species